GCUGAAGCCCAGCUCCCCCCACACUGUCAGCCUCUGCAGUUUUCCCAAACACAAUCAACAACCUGGCCUAGGGCUUAUCUACACACUUCCAAAAUUCUUCAUCUGACAACUAAUGAUGCAUUAAUCACUGUCAGACCACGAUCUUUUGUUUCUGCUUCUCUGCAGGCGUCUGUCAGGAUCACAAAGGAUUCACAUUGCACUAGCCUGGGUACAGAAGCUCAGCCCCUCUGCAGACACUCGUCGGUGUUUUGUGAUCCCUUCAGGAACCACUUCACCUGUCCUUCCCCUCCUUCACUCACUACUUGUAUUUCUAGCCCUGGAUAUCUGCUCUCUCUUGUGCAAGCACGGGUCCUUUUUCACAAGCAGCACUAGAAGAGAGGAUCACCAAAAUCCUUUUCUGCAGCAUUGUUCCUGUUUGGGUACCCUGGUUCCCGAUUCAUUUAACAGUGCUGAGAAGGUGCCUAUUCUCUCCUUCACAUCUACUUUUAUAUGGUUCACCUCUAACCUUCCAUCCACACAGCACUCUAGAGCAUGCAGUAUUCAGGAGUAUGAGACAUCCUGCUCAAAAUUAAGUGACCCUCCUCGCAAAGCCUGUGGGAUGAUGACCAAACACCAAAGCAAUCUCUGGGAGGCAUCCAAGCUCCACCUCAGCAGACGAACCAGCUGCACCACUUCUUCGAAUGAGCCCCAACAGACUGAAGUACACUCCCUCUUUUACAUCUCAGGAGCCUGGGCCCAGCUGUCCACAGGAAGUGACACCCCCAGGAGAUGGAGGGACAUCAAGGGUUCGUCUCCACAUGGAAGCUGUAAGGGUUUAUGAAUGCUGGUGCAGUGCAAAGAGCCUCUGGAGCUGGUACAGUUUGACACAGUGAAGCUGUUCCACACAGAGAGGCACAGCUGCUUCCAAAGGCAAAAGAAAUUAAGCUAUAUAAAAUGAAUUUUUAAAAUUAUAGCUUUUCCUCAAAUGCAAACUACUUCCAUGAACAGGGGUGUUGGGCCUGCAUGUCCU
rnacentral:lncRNA from 1 species